CGUAGGGUGCAAGCGUUAAUCGGAAUUACUGGGCGUAAAGCGUGCGCAGGCGGUUAUGCAAGACAGAUGUGAAAUCCCCGGGCUCAACCUGGGAACUGCAUUUGUGACUGCAUAGCUAGAGUACGGUAGAGGGGGAUGGAAUUCCGCGUGUAGCAGUGAAAUGCGUAGAUAUGCGGAGGAACACCGAUGGCGAAGGCAAUCCCCUGGACCUGUACUGACGCUCAUGCACGAAAGCGUGGGGAGCAAACAGGAUUAGAUACCCUGGUAGUCCACGCCCUAAACGAUGUCAACUGGUUGUUGGGAGGGUUUCUUCUCAGUAACGAAGCUAACGCGUGAAGUUGACCGCCUGGGGAGUACGGCCGCAAGGUUG
rnacentral:rRNA from 1 species